rnacentral:misc_RNA from 1 species
GAUGAAGAACGUAGCGAAAUGCGAUACGUAGUGUGAAUUGCAGAAUUCAGUGAAUCAUCGAAUCUUUGAACGCACAUUGCACCUCUCGGUAUUCCGGGAGGUAUGCCUGUUCGAGCGUCAUUUGUACCCUCAAGCUCUGCUUGGUGUUGGGUGUUUGUUCCGCCUCUGUGUGUGAACUGGCCUCAAAACAAUUGGCAGCCGGCGUACUUGUUUCGGAGCGCAGCACAUUUUGCGAUCCAGAUCAACGUACAGCGGCAUCCAAGAAGCCUUAUUUAACGCUCUUGACCUCGGAUCAGGUAGGGAUACCCGCUGAACUUAAGCAUAUCAAUAAGCGGAGGA